GUGUUGUGUUGUAAGGGCGCAUGGUGGAUGCCUUGGCAUAGUAGGCCGAUGAAGGACGUGAGAGGCUGCGAUAGGCCUCGGGGAGCUGCCAACUAAGCGUUGAUCCGAGGGUGUCCGAAUGGGGAAACCUGGCCGUCGUUGUGGGCGGUCGCCGUUAGAUGAAUUCAUAGUCUAAUUGGUGGUUACGCGGGGAAGUGAAACAUCUCAGUACCCGUAGGAGUAGAAAACAAUUGUGAUUCCGUUAGUAGUGGCGAACGAACGUGGAUGAGGCUAAACCGCGUGCGUGUGAUACCUGGCAGGGUUUGCGUGCGUGGGGUUGUGGGGAUGCAUUUGUGCAGGGUCUGCUAGUCCUGCGUUGUGUGGUGUGGGUGUAGCGGAAGUGGAUUGGAAUGUCCUGCCGUAGACGGUGAGAGUCCGGUACGUGAAACACCCGUGCGUGCAAUUGGUGUGUUGCCCGAGUAGCAGCGGGCUCGUGGAAUCUGCUGUGAAUCUGCCGGGACCACCCGGUAAGCCUAAAUACCUGCUUAUGACCGAUAGCGGAUUAGUACCGUGAGGGAAUGGUGAAAAGUACCCCGGGAGGGGAGUGAAAUAGUACCUGAAACCAUGUGCUUACAAUCCGUCAGAGCCCUUUUUUGUGGGGUGAUGGCGUGCCUUUUGAAGAAUGAGCCUGCGAGUCAGCGGCAUGUCGCGAGGUUAACCCGUGUGGUGGGGUAGUCGUAGCGAAAGCGAAUACUAACUAGUGUGUUGUCAGUGGCAUGUCCUGGACCCGAAGCGGGGUGAUCUACCCAUGGCCAGUGUGAAGCAGAGGUAAGACUCUGUGGAGGCGCGAACCCACUUAGGUUGAAAACUGAGGGGAUGAGUUGUGGGUAGGGGUGAAAGGCCAAUCAA
rnacentral:rRNA from 1 species